rnacentral:misc_RNA from 1 species
AACUUUCAACAACGGAUCUCUCGGCACGUGCGGCAUCGUCGGAGCAGAGCCACCAGGCACAGAGGUGAGCUUUGACGUGAACAACCUGAUGAUACCUGGUAAGGGGAUACGCGGCAUUCUUGAGGGUGAAAGCGUUCCCGACAUUUUUAUCCCCCAGCUCAUCGAACUCAACGCGCAGGGGCGCUUCCCGUUCGAGAAACUGGUGAAGUUUUACAGCCUCGAUCAAAUCAAUCAGGCUGCGCAAGACAGCGAAAAAGGCGGCACGAUCAAACCCAUCAUUCGCCUAUCACCGGCGUAAGCGGGGAAGGAAACUCCAUGUCACAGGUCACAAAUUUCGCGCGAGGCCAGAUGGCCGAGUCUAGGCGCCCAUAGGCUAUUUAAGCAUAUCAAUAAGCGGAGGCU